UGACUCUGUUCAACGGCCGCGGUAUCCUAACCGUGCGAAGGUAGCGUAAUCACUUGUCCUUUAAAUGGGGACUAGUAUGAAUGGCACCACGAGGGUUAUACUGUCUCCUUUUUUCAAUCAGUGAAACUAAUCCCCCCGUGAAGAAGCGGGGAUAUACAUAUAAGACGAGAAGACCCUAUGGAGCUUUAAACAAAACAACAUUUGCUAUAACCUAUAUUAAUCUCAGGAAACCAACCCCUAUUUUAGCAUCAUGAUUGUUAGUUUUAGGUUGGGGUGACCGCGGAGUAAAAAAUAACCUCCACAAUGAAUGGGAUCUUCCCUAAGCAAAAAGCCACAACUUUAUGCAUCAACAAAUUGACAUCAAUUGACCCAAUAUUUUGAUCAACGAAACAAGUUACCCUAGGGAUAACAGCGCAAUCCACUUCGAGAGCCCGUAUCGACAAGUGGGUUUACGACCUCGAUGUUGGAUCAGGGUACCCCAGUGGUGCAGCCGCUACUAAAGGUUCGUUUGUUCAACGAUUAAAACCCU
rnacentral:rRNA from 1 species